CGCUCCCCACCGCUGAGGCGGACCGAGCACCCAGCGCGGCGCGGCGGCGCCCAACGCUCGCCCCGAAACCCAUUUGUUUGGCUAAAACGGAGUGACGUCACGCGCCGGCCCAAUCGACGGUGUUCUCUUGCUCUUCCGCCUUAUACCAUGGGAUGACGUAGCAAGAAGCCCCUCAAGAGAUAUGAACCCCUUGACCUUGGACUUCCCAGCCUCCAGAACUAAUCCUGAUCUGUGUUUCUGGGGAGGUGGGCCCAGAACCGUUGUGUGAAUAAUGAUUGACCUCAUGGUUCUCAUGGAGUGAUUGAUUUUGCCUCCCAGAGGACAUCAGCAAUGUCUGGAGACAUUUCCAGUUGUCACUACUUGAGAGGAAGCACGAUCUGCCUCUAGAAGGGAGAGACCAGGGAUGCUGCUGCUCGGUAUCCUAUAAUGCACAGAACAGCUUCUACGACAAAGAGUUAUCCCACCAAAAAUGUCAGUAGUGCCAAGGUUGAGAGAACCUGCUCUACGGUAAUCAGUGUGGUCCUAAUCUCCCUGUCAGUGACUGAUUCAACUCACAUAAUAAUCUUAUGGGAGUGUGAUGUAAUUCUAGCCAAUAAAAUGCAAUGGGAAGUUGGCUGAGAUACUUCUGAAAAAAAUCUUCUCUUACCCCUAAAAAGAGACAUUCAUUUUCUGUUGAAAUGCAUUACUUUCCUAAAUAAAAUCAUAUUUGCCAACAACGAGAAAAAGAGAAACAUGCAAGAAACCAACUGUUUGCUGCUAGAUGCCAUUGUGUCUGCAAUGUGGUGUCUAGAAGUAUGGCUGUCAUCUUGGAACCAUGAGAGGAGUUAGCUGAAGAAA